UAGUCAUAUGCUUGUCUCAGAGAUUAAGCCAUGCAUGUCUAAGUAUAAGCAAUCUUAUACAGCGAAACUGCGAAUGGCUCAUUAAAUCAGUUAUAGUCUACUUGAUCGUAUCUUCUUACAUGGAUAACCGUAGUAAAUCUAGAGCUAAUACAUGCUAAAAAUUCUGGACGCGGCAACGCGGAAGGGACGAGUUUAUUAGAUUAAAAACCGACACCUCUCCGCGAGGGGAGGUAGCACAGGUGAUUCACAGUAACCGAUCGGAUCGUCGGCCCCGCCGACGACGAUGCAUACGAGUUUCUGCCCUAUCAACUUUAGAUGGUAGAGUAUCGGUCUACCAUGGUCGUAACGGGUGACGGGGGAUUAGGGUUCGAUUCCGGAGAGGGAGCCUGAGAAACGGCUACCACUUCCAAGGAAGGCAGCAGGCGCGCAAAUUACCCAAUCCCGACACGGGGAGGUAGUGACAAGGAAUACCAUUGUAAUGUCUCCUCGAGAGGCUUACGAUUGGAAUGGGUACAAUUUAAAUCCCUUAACGAGUAACGAUU
rnacentral:rRNA from 1 species